GGCUGAGCCGCGGCGAGUCGGAGAAGAGAUUGGUAGUGAGAGAUGAGUUUGAGCAGUGUCUGAGGGACGCCAUUGUUGGUCCGAAGGCAAAGGAGCUUAGAGAAAACGCUUUGAAAUGGAAGAAUGCGGCGGAGAAAGCAGCGGCGGACGGCGGCUCCUCGGAGACUAACAUACAAGAGUUUGUGGACGAGAUCAGGAAGAAGUGGUCUGGUCGGAUCAGUGAAAUCCAUAGUCUAGAGGUAAAAAAUCUGGAGAAGGCUUGAAAAUUUUACUGUGAACGGU
rnacentral:misc_RNA from 1 species